CCGUUAUGUAGAAGUCGGUGGAAUAUCUCUGCCAGUUACAAAUCCUAAUCAGAAAAUCGCCGCAAGGAAUAAAACAUGGAUGAGGAUUUCCAGAUUCAUAUAACUUCAGUUCUAUGUUCCCAGAUACUGCUGAUGGCUGCACAAGCAAGACCAAGGCAGAAGACGUAACAAACAUUAAUGAAGCAGGAAAGUUUCUAAGGUCCCCAUCAACGCAUUAGAUAUCUUACUUACAAAGGGUUCUCUCUAUCUCUCUCUCUCUCUCUCUCUCUCUCUGCCUCUUUUUUUUAUUUUUUUUUAUUAAUUAAAUUUUAUUCCAUCAAACAAAAUAGCAGAUAGCUCGGUUGCUCCUAUAACAUGUGGCAUGACUUUGCCAUGAAAUGAGUCUCCAUCCUAGUUAUCCACUGAAACAAUAGACUGGUCAGAGUAUAGGCAGACAAAAUGAAACUGCAGACGAAUCAGUUAUGUUAUAUGCUGACUUCUACUUUCACUAUUUGUACUUAUAUUUGGGGUUAGUUUGGCAUCACUGUUGCUAACGGCGGAUUUUGGGCGAAAAGUUAGAAAAAAAUUUCUUUGAAUCAGUGGAUAGUUGCUCUUUGAAGUGUGAAUUCUUAUGGGCCAAAGCUGAUUUUGAGAAAAGCUUCACAUGGUAAUUUUUUCCAAAUAAGUUUUUGUCUAUGAAAAUCACACAGCAAAAGAGCCAAAUCUAAUGGCUCAAACAUGACCAAUGUAUACUCCUAACUUUUAGCCUAAAAUCUGCUAUUAGCAAUAACAAUGCCCAAAGGGCUCUAUUAUUGAAGAAUUGACUGAGUAGGACUGCAAAAUGAAGUUAAAUGUUAAAAUGAGGAUCAGCAGUCCUGUUGCCAUCCGAGCAAAUCCUUGCUGUCUAUAAUGUACAUUGUCACAUUGAUAAGACAAUUAGCGACAAGAUGAUUCUAGGUGGAAUUUGACAGUCAGUGAGACACCAUAGAUAGGGAAAAAAACAGACAGGGUAGACCACGAAAUAUAAGGAGGCUAUGAAGUGAAGAAAUCAGUCUGAUGCCAAUUAAGACCAAGCACUUGAUUAGAAAAGCAUAGAAACGGGAACAUUGAAACAAGGUGAAAGGGGUGAAGGCAUGGUUAUCAGCAACAAGCAGUUUAUAACCCUCGAAUCAUAAGCUUUAUCUUGAUUGGUUUUAAACUUUCAGCAAUACUUGAAUUCAAUGACCUAUUGAUUGAGCCCAAUUGGACAAACAGCUGCAAGAUUUAAAAAGUACAAAAUUUGAAAGGUAAAUUUAACGAAAACAAAAGGAGCAUAGAAAUGGUUAGAGUUCAUUUUAGGUGUUCAGAAUAGGCCAUUUCGUUCAAGUUGAAGUGCUUUUAAGGAAAAAAAAAAAAAAAAGUUAAGGUACACACGUUGAAGAAAAGAUUGCCAAGGUGUAGUUAAGGGCAUAUGAAAACAGUAAUUAUUUUCUCAAGUUGAAUAUAUUCUACUGAUGCAAAUUUAUCUGUAAAGAGACAGAUUAUCAGAUUACAGCUUAUCCUGUUAAAGGUUUAUUUAAAUUGGAUAAGGAAACAGAUAUUAUCUAUCAAA